rnacentral:rRNA from 1 species
UGGGGAAUAUUGCACAAUGGGCGCAAGCCUGAUGCAGCCAUGCCGCGUGUAUGAAGAAGGCCUUCGGGUUGUAAAGUACUUUCAGCGGGGAGGAAGGGAGUAAAGUUAAUACCUUUGCUUAUUGACGUUACCCGCAGAAGUAGCACCGGCUAACUCCGUGCCAGCAGCCGCGGUAAUACGGAGGGUGCAAGCGUUAAUCGGAAUUACUGGGCGUAAAGCGCACGCAGGCGGUUUGUUAAGUCAGAUGUGAAAUCCCCGGGCUCAACCUGGGAACUGCAUCUGAUACUGGCAAGCUUGAGUCUCGUAGAGGGGGGUAGAAUUCCAGGUGUAGCGGUGAAAUGCGUAGAGAUCUGGAGGAAUACCGGUGGCGAAGGCGGCCCCCUGGACGAAGACUGACGCUCAGGUGCGAAAGCGUGGGGAGCAAACAGG